UUGAACGCUGGCGGCAGGCCUAACACAUGCAAGUCGAACGGUAACAGAAAGCAGCUUGCUGCUUUGCUGACGAGUGGCGGACGGGUGAGUAAUGUCUGGGAAACUGCCUGAUGGAGGGGGAUAACUACUGGAAACGGUAGCUAAUACCGCAUAACGUCGCAAGACCAAAGAGGGGGACCUUCGGGCCUCUUGCCAUCGGAUGUGCCCAGAUGGGAUUAGCUUGUUGGUGGGGUAACGGCUCACCAAGGCGACGAUCUCUAGCUGGUCUGAGAGGAUGACCAGCCACACUGGAACUGAGACACGGUCCAGACUCCUACGGGAGGCAGCAGUGGGGAAUAUUGCACAAUGGGCGCAAGCCUGAUGCAGCCAUGCCGCGUGUAUGAAGAAGGCCUUCGGGUUGUAAAGUACUUUCAGCGGGGAGGAAGGGAGUAAAGUUAAUACCUUUGCUCAUUGACGUUACCCGCAGAAGAAGCACCGGCUAACUCCGUGCCAGCAGCCGCGGUAAUACGGAGGGUGCAAGCGUUAAUCGGAAUUACUGGGCGUAAAGCGCACGCAGGCGGUUUGUUAAGUCAGAUGUGAAAUCCCCGGGCUCAACCUGGGAACUGCAUCUGAUACUGGCAAGCUUGAGUCUCGUAGAGGGGGGUAGAAUUCCAGGUGUAGCGGUGAAAUGCGUAGAGAUCUGGAGGAAUACCGGUGGCGAAGGCGGCCCCCUGGACGAAGACUGACGCUCAGGUGCGAAAGCGUGGGGAGCAAACAGGAAUAGAUACCCUGGUAGUCCACGCCGUAAACGAUGUCGACUUGGAGGUUGUGCCCUUGAGGCGUGGCUUCCGGAGCUAACGCGUUAAGUCGACCGCCUGGGGAGUACGGCCGCAAGGUUAAAACUCAAAUGAAUUGACGGGGGCCCGCACAAGCGGUGGAGCAUGUGGUUUAAUUCGAUGCAACGCGAAGAACCUUACCUGGUCUUGACAUCCACGGAAGUUUUCAGAGAUGAGAAUGUGCCUUCGGGAACCGUGAGACAGGUGCUGCAUGGCUGUCGUCAGCUCGUGUUGUGAAAUGUUGGGUUAAGUCCCGCAACGAGCGCAACCCUUAUCCUUUGUUGCCAGCGGUCCGGCCGGGAACUCAAAGGAGACUGCCAGUGAUAAACUGGAGGAAGGUGGGGAUGACGUCAAGUCAUCAUGGCCCUUACGACCAGGGCUACACACGUGCUACAAUGGCGCAUACAAAGAGAAGCGACCUCGCGAGAGCAAGCGGACCUCAUAAAGUGCGUCGUAGUCCGGAUUGGAGUCUGCAACUCGACUCCAUGAAGUCGGAAUCGCUAGUAAUCGUGGAUCAGAAUGCCACGGUGAAUACGUUCCCGGGCCUUGUACACACCGCCCGUCACACCAUGGGAGUGGGUUGCAAAAGAAGUAGGUAGCUUAACCUUCGGGAGGGCGCUUACCACUUUGUGAUUCAUGACUGGGGUG
rnacentral:rRNA from 1 species